GUGUCAGCCGCCGCGGUAAUACAGAGGUCCCAAGCGUUGUUCGGAUUCACUGGGCGUAAAGGGUGCGUAGGUGGUGGGGUAAGUUUGAUGUGAAAUCUCCGAGCUUAACUCGGAAAUGGCAUUGAAUACUACUCUGCUGGAGGGUCGGAGGGGAGACUGGAAUUUUCGGUGUAGCAGUGAAAUGCGUGGAUAUCGAAAGGAACACCAGUGGCGAAAGCGAGUCUCUGGACGACUCCUGACACUGAGGCACGAAAGCUAGGGGAGCAAACAGGAUUAGAUACCCCCGUAGUCC
rnacentral:rRNA from 1 species